AUGAAAUCUGCUCAAAUACUUCACAGGAGUCUGUCUGCGGCAAGCAGCAAUUAUCUAGACAUAUCCACCAGUCAAACUCAGUUAGAAAUAAAAAGAAAACAUACCAACAGGUAUCAGUAUGUGUGGCUUGGGUACGUAGUCAGACAGAAAUGCGAGUUUAAAGGUUUAAGUGGCUGCUUCCUAGCUCCACGUCACUGUGCUACAGGUCAGAUGUGAUUCGGAAGUGAUUAUGCACCAGGAAGGAGUAGAUCAUUUUGCUAGUCCUACUAAGAGGAGAAGCCCCACAUUGUAGCUCCUUCAGAGAAUCCUUGUGGGUCACGAACUGUAGCUCCUCUAUGAAGGCAAUGGCAGGGCAG